AAACAUGGUUUCAAGGCAGAUUUCCCAAUAAGCAGGAAAAUAUGAAAAGGAUCAAAUGGACUCAGACUGUACCUAAAUAAUUACAGCAAUUUCAGUAUUUUUCUGAGUUAACAACAGGUGUUCAUUAUUUAGGACUUAUCGAGUUGUUUUCCUUUUUCUUAGUAUUGCCUGUGUGUCUCAAUGUUUGCAGAAAUUACUGUGAGUCAAACACGUUUCCCCAUGAAUUUAACUGUUCUCCUUCCCUUGCAAAUAAGAGAAGGAAAAAAACGUGUUCAUAUUCACAUACGUCUUGCAUCUAGUUACUUAACAAAACUAAUCUUUUCCCUUUCUCCAAAUGUCUUUCAUCUCUAAAAUAAAUAUAAGUAGAGAAAAAAUCUACGUGUGGAGCAAGUAGAAUGGUGAGAGGGCAGUUGAGAGUCCAUAACCAUUUAUAUAGGCAGCUACAUCAAGGCUGCCUGGCCCCGAGUAGGAGUCAUCCUGGCUGCCAGACUGGAGAGCUUAGCAAACUGCCUGGUGUUUGUUUGUUUGUUUUGUUUUAAGAUCCAUGAAAUAAUAGGAAUACUGGUGGUCAAAACAAUUAGAACCUCUUCAUUUCAUAAUUGUGUUCAUCAGUCCAGGCAGGUUGAUAAUUUUUAUUUCAAAAAUAAAUUGCCAAUAUAUGAAAGCUAGAAGUCAAUUGAAGCAGAGGAGAUUCGUCCAGUGUGUGACUGUCAUACACACAGAAUACAUCCCAAAGGAUGCCUAGGGACAUAAGAAGUUAUUUUCUGUUAGUGAUGUUCUCCCCUUCCUUGGUGACAGCAAUAUUACUGUGUUCACUUCCAACUCCGGAGCUUACUUCCUGUGGUGCCAGUGUAUUUGUUGCAAUUUACUACAUUUUUAUAUGAGCCUAAUUAUAGGUGCCAUUAGAUAAACUCAGGUCUUUCAAAUGAAGGAAUUUCUAGCCCAUUUAGGGUAAGGAUAACUGUAUAGACAGCCAUAAAACCAAUGGUAGGAAAAGUUGGAACUGAUGACCUUGAUGCUAGUGGUUACUCUCUGUUAAGGCGAAGACCAGGUAUACUAUGAGUGUCAUCGUUGUCAUUUCCAAAUGCUAAUAGAGUGUCUUUACAGUUAUCUAUCUAAGGCAACCUUUAGAAUAUAAUUUCCUUGGUGAAAACACCACUUUAGUUUUAUUUUUUUUAACUAUAAAAUUAUUUUUUUGUCAUUUAUAUAAGACCUGGUUUUGCUCUCAGUAGAAGAUGAAAACAGUAGCUCUGUACAGGGAUAUAUCUAUAUUGGUCUUUAUAUGACAAGUGAAGGAAUUUCCUCAUGUUAUGUUUAAGAAAAUAUCCACUUUCUAAAAACACGAUACCCAUUUCUUUCUGUUCCAUUUUGAUGGAAUUCCAAAACAAAUCCUAACCAUUGCAAUCCCAGUAAAACUAAAGAAAGGGGAUUGUAUGUCAUGCAGAUUGUUCGUAUUACAUGUAUGUAUGAUGAUUUCCUCGUGUCCCCGUCUCUCUUGAUUUGCAAUUUCUUGAUGCCCCCUGUCACUUUCCCAGAGAACUUUCUUUCAAGGUAAAAGCUGUGCAAAAGGCAUGAGACUCAGGCCUAUUCUUUGUUUAAAUGAUGGAAAAAUAUAAAUUAUUUUCUAAGUAAUAAAGAUAUAAAAAUUGUCAUU
ensembl:lncRNA